AUGAUGGAAUCUGAUCCAUUAUGGCCUUGUGUUGGUAGUUGCAGUUACACAAUGAUGAAUUGUGUUUACUUUUUUUAUGGAAAUAGAGAAGCCGAUUAUUCUAUUUGCAAGACGGUUAUCCUAAAUUCUAAUUCAGACAUUAGUGAUGAUACAACAAUGUUCUCCACCAAAAUUGUGAUUUCGGGCGAGCUUAGCUUAGGGUGGGACCACCGAAGAUCGUGUGGCGCACGGGAGACAGCAACUCCACCAGCUAUUGUGUUGUGCCCACCGACAGCAAUAACAAAGAUACAGAGGUCAUUGCUAGACAUGACUGCCAUGUUUGCAAUCUAUUGGGUAGUCCUAUUUGGUGGAUUGCAUCUAUAG
rnacentral:rRNA from 1 species